GAUGAACGCUGGCGGCGUGCCUAAUACAUGCAAGUCGAGCGAACAGACGAGGAGCUUGCUCCUCUGACGUUAGCGGCGGACGGGUGAGUAACACGUGGAUAACCUACCUAUAAGACUGGGAUAACUUCGGGAAACCGGAGCUAAUACCGGAUAAUAUAUUGAACCGCAUGGUUCAAUAGUGAAAGACGGUUUUGCUGUCACUUAUAGAUGGAUCCGCGCCGCAUUAGCUAGUUGGUAAGGUAACGGCUUACCAAGGCAACGAUGCGUAGCCGACCUGAGAGGGUGUACGGCCACACUGGAACUGAGACACGGUCCAGACUCCUACGGGAGGCAGCAGUAGGGAAUCUUCCGCAAUGGGCGAAAGCUUGACGGAGCAACGCCGCGUGAGUGAUGAAGGUCUUCGGAUCGUAAAACUCUGUUAUUAGGGAAGACCAAAUGUGUAAGUAACUAUGCACGUCUUGACGGUACCUAAUCAGAAAGCCACGGCUAACUACGUG
rnacentral:rRNA from 1 species